GUAGCUCUGAUGGUUGUUAGUUGCAGUUGAUCUAUGACAUUCUGAAAUCCCUGUAUCUCCCAUUGUGUGACAAGGGAUCCCAAUCUAUCUUUUAAGCUCAAGACACUUUUAAAGUCUCCACAUACAACCUAAGGAAAUUGCUGCUGCAAUGUGAUCUGUAUAAUAUCCUGCCACAAAAUCUCUUUUUCAACAAUUUAUUCUUUGCACAAAC
rnacentral:misc_RNA from 1 species